CAGCCGCCGCGGUAAUACGAAGGGUGCAAGCGUUACUCGGAAUUACUGGGCGUAAAGCGUGCGUAGGUGGUGGUUUAAGUCCGUUGUGAAAGCCCUGGGCUCAACCUGGGAAUUGCAGUGGAUACCGGGCCACUAGAGUGUGGUAGAGGAUAGUGGAAUUUCCGGUGUAGCAGUGAAAUGCGUAGAGAUCGGAAGGAACAUCUGUGGCGAAGGCGACUAUCUGGGCCAACACUGACACUGAGGCACGAAAGCGUGGGGAGCAAACAGGAUUAGAUACCCCCGUAGUCCCUGUCUCUUAUAC
rnacentral:rRNA from 1 species